rnacentral:lncRNA from 1 species
CAGAAAGUUGAGUAUGAUUCUGGAAAUGUAUGAAAAAAUAGGCCUAGGUGGGGGUAAAUAAUUUUUCCUAUUACAUGCCAUAUUUUAAAAACUCUUUUCAAGUGCUGUUGUUUUCCCCUUUUUCUUCGUCAGUGUUCUGGACAUCUUGGAAAAGGUAUACGGGAAGCAACAGAAAUCCUUACAAUUGCAAAAUAAAACCUGAGGGGAUAGGAACCGAGAACUUUUCAAUGAAGAAGACAAGAAUUGUUGACAAUUCAUACUUUAGGUCUGUUAUUGGAGCCCACCAGCAUGCCAGGAGUAGCUGGGAGUAUUCAGUGGAGCCCCAUCUGAGACUGCCAGAACACAAAGCCUCUCUCUUCGUACAUUUCAAGGUGUGUCUCUGGAGAACUCAACCUAUAAUAUCUAUAAUACCACCCUUAACCCCCAACUCUGAAGAUGUGAGGAGGGUAUCCAUGCAGUGUGGAAUGGAGAAUAAGAGCUAAUCGGGGUGAAGAAACUAUAUAUGUGGAAGAGAGAACAACAGCAGAGUUGUGAGAUUUACUAUACAU